GCCCGGAUGGUGGAAUCGGUAGACACGCAGGACUUAAAAUCCUGUGACCAUAACGGUCGUGCGGGUUCAAGUCCCGCUCCGGGUA
rnacentral:tRNA from 1 species